GCCAACUCUAUGAUUCUAUGAAAUCCAAACUGGGUGCCUAAAUCCCUGUUGAAAACAUCUUAUAGUACAUGAUAUCUACAAUAUUAGAAAUGGUCUAGCUCCCACAUGUCCUCUCUGGAAGUGACAGGUACAAGAGAAAAAGAUUGACCUGGUGACAUAAAGCUGACAUCUCUGUGGCCUCCUCUGUAUGUUACAGGAGGACUGCUAUUACAAUACACACAAAAUCAAGAAUCCAAAAUAUUCCAUGAAUUUAGGACAUCAGAAGG
rnacentral:lncRNA from 1 species